UACAGAGGUCUCAAGCGUUGUUCGGAUUCACUGGGCGUAAAGGGUGCGUAGGCGGUCGUGACAAGUCACUUGUGAAAUCUCCGGGCUUAACUCGGAACGGUCAAGUGAUACUGUCGGACUAGAGUACAGAAGGGGCAACUGGAAUUCUCGGUGUAGCGGUGAAAUGCGUAGAUAUCGAGAGGAACACCUGCGGCGAAGGCGGGUUGCUGGGCUGAUACUGACGCUGAGGCGCGAAAGCCAGGGGAGCGAACGGG
rnacentral:rRNA from 1 species